rnacentral:rRNA from 1 species
GAUGAACGCUGGCGGCGUGCCUAACACAUGCAAGUCGAACGAAGCACUUUUUUACGAUCCCUUCGGGGUGACGAAUUUGUGACUGAGUGGCGGACGGGUGAGUAACGCGUGGGUAACCUGCCUUAUACAGGGGGAUAACAGUUGGAAACGGCUGCUAAUACCGCAUAAGCGCACAGGGUCGCAUGACCUGGUGUGAAAAACUCCGGUGGUAUGGGAUGGCCUCGCGUCUGAUUAGAUAGUUGGUGAGGUAACGGCCCACCAAGUCGACGAUCAGUAGCCGGACUGAGAGGUUGAACGGCCACAUUGGGACUGAGAUACGGCCCAGACUCCUACGGGAGGCAGCAGUGGGGAAUAUUGGGCAAUGGGCGAAAGCCUGACCCAGCAACGCCGCGUGAAGGAAGAAGGUCUUCGGAUUGUAAACUUCUUUAUGAGGGACGAAGGACGUGACGGUACCUCAUGAAUAAGCCACGGCUAACUACGUG